rnacentral:lncRNA from 1 species
AAUGAGACCACCAGAUAGCAUGGAGCUAAUGGAGAAAAAUGAUGGAAAAAGUUUUAGAGGCUAAUCCACUAAAACUUCUUUUGCUGCCUACGUUGAGGAUGAAUCCGCUAAAGAUUUAAAAGAUUCCUAUCAGCGGCAAAGGCUUUGCCAAGACCUAUACAAGGGAUCGCAGAGAAAGCUAAGAGCUAAGAGGACGAAGACUCACUGAGAAAAGGAAAAGCAGCUCCGAUUGACUGAACAUUGGCAUACCAAGGUGAAAUUAGGGGAGAUGGGCAAAUCAAUCUAUUAAGUUAAGUAGAAAGCCAGAAGCGGAAGGAAAGGAUAUGGCAAAAAGCCCUAAGCAAUAAAUCCAUUAACCAUGGAAACCGCGCUAAAGCUAGCUGAAAACUAUGAUGAACGAAUUAAAGACUCCUUCCUUAUAACCCAAGGCCCUUUCUACUAUUUCUUAGAGGGGAUAUCCUCCCAUGCACAGACUUAUCUAUUUCUUGGUGAACUCUCAUAACAAGACUCAAUUCCCUACCAAACUCAGAGGCGCAAAACUGGAAUAAGUCUAGAGGAAUCACCUUAGGUCCAAAGAAUCUAUAAAGUAAAGCCUACCUGUCCUGCCUUUUAGACCAGCUGUGAUACCUGCCGGUCGAUCCGGUUGACCUGUUUUAGGGAAAAGGAAGACUCCUACGAUUACUUAAACUUCCUCGUUGGGAGAGAGCGAGAAAGCUACAGACUGUAAAUCUAUUGAUGUUUUUCUACUUAUGUUCCCGGGGCUUAGAUCUUCCGUGACGGUCAGGAGAAAUGUAACCAAAUCAAUCACAUCCAAAAGCAGGUAUGCAAGAAGCUUUUAUCAAGAAAUCGCACAAAGAGUCGUUCACGCCUGCCACUCUGGACUAUGCCCUUAUCAGGGCUCCUCUCUAUCCUUCCAUCCAUAAAGACAUGUAAUAUAAUCUCCGACUGAGCUAGAAAGUGAGCAACUCAUCUUUCGAGAGGGAGGCCGACUACCAAUCAUCAAUAGGCUAAUAAGAGACAUAACAGCAAUAAGUCGCGGGUAGCUUUUACAGUAGGCUGUAGCUACUCAUUGGUCUUAUUUUGACUAGGCUUCGGUAGGGAAAGAAAGAAUUUCUUAGUAGAUGGCAGGCAUAUUGAUCUCGGCCAUAAGGGAUCAAAGGGCGUCCAUAGCUCCUGUGACGCGGGUGACGGCCUGACCUAUUGCUUAAACUAAGAACUGGCAACCAAACUGAGGGACGAAAGUAAGGAAAGAAAUAAGAAGUGCUCGA